CCCAGCUGGUAACUGAUAUUUAAGGCUUCUUCCUUUGUUGGGCAAACCUACUUAUUAAGAAGCAUGUUGCUUCUAACUCCCAACCCCCAGAUAGGGUUUCUCUUUGUAGCCCAUGCUGUCCUGGAAUUAGCUCUGUAGACCAGACUGAACUCUAACUCACAGAGAUCCAUAUGCCUCUGCUUCCCAAGUCCUGGGAUUAAAGGGGUGAGGCAGUACUGCCUGGCUUCUUAUUGCUUCUUUUUUUUUUUUUUUUUUUUUUUUUUUUUUGGUUCUUUUUUUCGGAGCUGGGGACCGAACCCAGGGCCUUGCGCUUCCUAGGUAAGCGCUCUACCACUGAGCUAAAUCCCCAGCCCUUCUUAUUGCUUCUUAAGGAGGUUUCCUGGCCUGGUGGUGGCAUAGGUGAGUUCUCGGGGCAACUAAAUGGGGACUACAGAGGUCUCUGAUUACUUGUUAUGCAAAUUUUAACUCAGCAAAGUGACAGGCACAAGGUUUACAAUAGCCACCAAUCCCUAGAACGGAAGCUGUUGAUUUGCUCUCGUGUCCUGUUCUUUUCCCAUCACAAUAAUAAUUAGUUUGCCCAACGGUUACUAUGUAUGCCCCAUUAGCUACCGUUUUAUGCUAAGGAUUUGAUUUAAUUCUUAAAACAACUGGAAGAGCUGAGACCUAUUUUCUUCUACCAGCAAACUCUGAGGUCAGUGCACUUAAAUAACUGGCCCAAGAUCACACAAUUAUUUAGGUAGUGAACUAUAUAUACAGAUCCACAUCUGCCUGGCCUAGGCCUGAGUGUUAGUCUACCCUAGAAUCUCUGACUUGAAAACAAUCCCUAAAAGUACACUGCUGUAGUCCUCCAAAGGAGCGCAGUCUUUAAUUCCAGUCUGUUGGUUUUCAUUAAACAUCUACCAUGGAACUCAGAAACUCAGUAAGUAGUUGUGGAAGGGUUUGUGAGUACCAGUUAUGCAUACCCAUUGAAUGAUGUGUCCCACGUUGGACUUGAACUUGAGCAAGGAUUGCUUGAAUUUUAUAAUCCUCCUGCCUCCACCUUCCAAGUGCUGGAUUACAGGGAUGCACCAUCUAUUUCAGUCUGUGGGGUACUGGGGAUUGAUUUCACCUUCCUGCUUGCUAGGUAAGUAACCUACUGACUAAGUCUUGGGGACCCCGUUACGCAGGAGUAGGUAAACACGAGAGUACCUGAACAAUAUAUUCAAAACGCACAGUUCGUAGGUGGUUGGCAUGUGGGUUCUGAAUCUUACUCUUGCGCCCAUCCUCUCCCCAACUUCCUUACGGUUGAACAUGACUCACACAAACUCCACAUACUUCCUGUAAAGGGAGGAAAAUGAGUCUGACACUUACUGGGGAAAUGGUGCUGUUGUUGAUCCCAAGCGUACGAGAAGAAAGACACCAAUCCCAAUCAUGAAAUUAAAGCAAGCUUCUUUAUUCAUGUACCUGGGCUGUCUCUCCCCAAAAGUUGGGUUCAAGAGAUCAGCAUCGAAUAUGAGAAAGGCAAGGUUUUUAUAGCUCAGGGGUGGGGGGGUUCCAAAUGGGGGAAUUUGACCGGUGGGCUAAAUAGGCGGGGUUACAAGAGGAAAACAUAAGGUGGACUUCGUAACAAUCUCUUCAAACAAUGGUAGGGUUGCAAGAUGGUUGUUACAACUUUUUGAAUCAAGGACGUAGUAGUUGUUUCCUGGAACAGGCAGCACAGAUCCAUUUGUAGUCACGGUUCCACGUAGGGCACAGGCCAAUGGUUGAGAAACAGAUUUAAUCAUAACGAGGAAUGCACCUACCUAGUUUGCCCUUACUGUCCGAUGGCUUCAAGCCCAAGAUGGAGGCAGACUGGUUCAUCACUGUGACCUCAGGAAUCCCAGAACGCAGGGACUCAGCUUUUGUCAUAACCCCUAUUCACCGUGUGUGUGUGUGUGUGUGUGUGUGUGUGUGUGUGUGUGCACGUGUGCACAUGAGUGCUCUCACAUGUAGCUUGUGCACGUGUGUAUGUAUGGGUGGAGGUCAGAAGUCAAUGCUAGUUACCUUAUUUCUUCAGACAGGGUCUCUUACUGAACCUGAGGCUCGCUUACUCUGCUGGGCUGACUGGUGCCUCCCCAGCACUGAAAGUAGGUGUAUGCUACCACACUUGGCUUUUGAUGUGGGUGCUGGGACUGACUGAACUAAUGCCCACACUGAGCCAUCUCCCCAGGCCUCUUGCUUCUCUGCUCUAUCUUUCUGCAGACAGGCCUCUCCCCGUCUGUCCUUGCAGCUCUGGGGCUGAGGUCAAGAGGGCUCUCUCCUCUUCGUGCAUUUCCGGUAUACUCUUAGGAAGGAAAUCUAACUGACCUCAUUUAGAGAGUGACUUCUGCAGCACUGCUCUGCCUGUGCCGCCACCUCAGCUCUGUGGUGAAGGCGUCAGCUAAGCCUGAAACCUCACACUGACCCCCACCCCAAGAGGAGACUGUCCUUCCAGUCCAGAGGGCUCAUUCAGUGACCUCAGGGACCAGGCUUGUAAUACAAAUGAAGCUGGCUCCUUGGUGACUGACAAACAGUGGCGCUCACGGUGCACAUAGAGAGUAUACUGUCAUGUUGGAAUGCAGACUCAGUGAAGAGAUUCCAAUUUUUUUUUUUUCCUGAGAAAACCAACAAAUCCAGACAUUUUCAAAUUAAACCUCUUGUUCCUUUGAAUGCUGUCAGCCAAUUUAAAAUAGAUUUAAACCAUUGCCUGAGAGUAACGAGCAUUUCUAUGAACACGUGGAAUCCUGGGCUAUGACAUUUGUAAACCGGUUAAGGAAGAUAAUGUGAGGUGGGUCAUAGAACUGAUGUCCACUCUAAGGAUAACCUUGGGAAGGGAAGUGUCCCUCUCUGCCGGAGGCCUCUGCUUAUCGAAUUCUUUUUUUCUGUUGUGACUACUCCUCAGGGAGUAGUAGGAGUCAUGGGCAUCUGGAGAAGAUGAGGGUGUGGAAGACACUGACGAAUAUCCUUCUUAGGUUAGCCAGGCCAGGCCGUAACAGGGCCGAGGCCAACUGCCAAGGAGAUCUGGUGUAUUAGUCAGCAUUUCCCAGGAGAGCAGAACCAGUAGUAUAUUUAAGGCUCCCACCUUAUGACAGUCUUACCAUACUGAUUUAUUGGGUCCACAGUUUAGCAUAAGCCAAGGAGCAUCUGUGUGUGUUCUUGGCUCAAUGAUUAUAAAGUCCAAGAAGUCCUAUAAAUUCCUUGAAAAAAAUUUCAUUUAUUCAGCAUGUAUGUGUGCAUUUGUGUGGUCAGAGGACAAUGUGACAGGAGUUGAUUCCCUUCUACCAUGCGGAUUCUGGGAACUGAACUUAGUCAUCAGCCUCGGAGGCAAGUACAUUUAUCUGCUGAGCCAUCUAGCUGGGCUGUGGCCCACAUUCUUCCAUAUGAAGCUGCAGACCUAGGAAAGCAGCUGCUAGUGUAAUCUGAAGGCCUCGAAGUCAGAAAGCAGAGAGAGUUCAACCACCCUGUGUCCCUGUACCAUUUUGGUUUAUUCAAGCCCCGGAUGGAUUGGAUGUCACCCACUCAUGUUAGCGAAAGCCAUUUGUAUUUCUUCAGUUUCCCAAUUUUUUUUUUCGGAGCUGGGGACCAAACCCAGGGCCUUGCGCUUCCUAGGCAAGCGCUCUACUACUGAGCUAAAUCCCCAACCCCCAGUUUCCCAUUUUAAAUGCUAAUGUCUUCUAGAAAUAUCCUCACAGACAUCCAGCAAUGUUAUUUAACAAAGGUAUCUUGGGGUAUGGUGGCUUAAACUGACACACUAAAAUGGCCCAUCACACCCAGGAAUAAGGACAGAGAGUCUAAUCUAAUCGAUGAACAGUAGGGAGAUCAAGAGGUGAACUGAUCAUCUUGAAGUCAUGUAAUGAACAAUGAACGCAGGGACAAAGGAGAAGACACAGGUCAAAGAAGAUCUUAACAAGGGAAGAGCUGAGGCAAAGAGGCCAGAGGACAUUUCUAGAAGCAUGUAUGUUUUUGACAGUUUUGGUUACAAAUACUGAUUUGUCUGUCCGGUUUGAGGAAAUUUGGAAGGAGCCAUGCUAAAGGUAGAGUGGGAACCCCAAGGUGGCAAAGCCUCAGGGACACAGGGAGGGCUUUGGGCACAAGGACCUCAGCUGAAGGAAUUUGCUUAUCUUCCAUCUUCACAUGCACCCAAUCCUUUGAGGGCCCAGUGGGUUGCUUCUCUGUGGGUUGCUUCUCUUUUAUAGGUCCCAGUUCCUGUAGUCUAGAAUGCCCCUCUGGAAUGCCCUUUCUCCUAGGACCUCUGGGCAGAUGGCUACAUUUAGGCAUUUGGUUCUAUGAAUCACCUUCAAAUUAGGUUUCUGUUUACUGAAAAGAAAAAACUAAACCGCAAAACCCACCCAGCUAUUCCUAUGGAAGAAGACCUACUGUGAGGAAUCUAGCUUUGUAUGAAGAGUUGACGGCAUUGUGUCAUAACUUUGGUUUAUAACCCUCUUUCUCACAGUAUACCCUGAGGGUUGAAGCCUUCCCCAAAUCCUCCCCCUCCCAUUAGGCCAAGUCCAUUCCGCUCCUCUAGUUUCUCGUUCACUUUAGCCCCAAACUCUCCAUCUUCUAAACUCUCUUGUCAUUUACGUUGGUCAGAGAAUGUAAGGAAGCUUGACAGUUUGAGUUCAUAAUAUAAGCACGCUGCUGACGUGUACAGUGCCCUUUCCCCUGGAUGGACUGCAGAUGAAUGCUCACAGGGUUUGGUUGCUGUUUCUCUCCCUCCCUCUCUCCGUCUUUCUCUCCUUUUCUCCCUCUCCUAUCUCUCACAUUAUGCACAAACCUACUACCAUUAAAUAGUACCAAAAAACAAACAAAAAAAAAAAAAAACCAAACCAAACCUAGAGCACAGCGAUUCUAGACUCCUAGUUUAUGGAAAGUUCCGAUAAGAAUGGAGAAAUACCUUCGCAUUGGUUUAAAAAGAGAAUAAGUAAUGAUUAUUUUGAAAAAGAAGUUUUAACACAAACAAUUCUAUACAUGGGAAAGAAAAAAUAAUAAAAGCGAUAAAAGUUAUGCCAUAGAUGCAUAUGACAGAUGGGUGAACUGAGCCAUGGAGUACCUUGGCGUCGAGCCUCCGAGCCCCUGAGAGGGAAAACUCUGAAUGGACCCAUCGCCGUGUGUACACGUGAAAACGGCUCUGAACACUCCAGCACCUCCCGCCUUGCAGCGGGUCGAGCGAAUAGCGGCCACGUGACACGGCUUGCCCAUCACCGCGGAAGGCGGGACUCAGAGGACGGUCCUCGCUAUUCUCCCGGUCCUCCAGUAGGGAAAGAGGAGCCAGUCACGGUGGGCGGGUCAGACCCGCCUUCUCCGCGGCAGGGGCGGGCUCAGCCAUCACCUUCCAGUGGGGUCCCGGUGAGCCCCGACUAGCUAAGGCGAAAGGGCGAGGCACACGUCAGUCAAGAAGUUCUGCCAAUGGGCGCGCGCCCUGCCCGCAGCUCCCGCCCCCGCAUCGGAUUCCCGGCGCGCGCGUAGCCUUCCCUCAGGCCGCUGAGGCGGCGCCCGCCCGCGCUUCCAUCCGGGUUCUCGCGCGCUGCUCUCCGGGCGCGGCGGUGGAGGGCCACGGUGGGGAAGGCCAGACCAUUCCCCUGGCGGCAGCGGGAAACCUUUUCUGCGAGCUUGAGGGAACCGGAAUUACGAAAGAGGAACUGGCUUCCUGUGGUGCUCAACUGUGAUUCCUUUCAGCAUUUGCCCUGGAUGUUGUCUUCACUGUGGGAUGAGGUAGUAGGUUGUAUAGUUUUAGGGUCACACCCACCACUGGGAGAUAACUAUACAAUCUACUGUCUUUCCUAAGGUGAUGGAAAAGUCUGCAUUCGUGGAUCUAGUAGGAAACCAAGAACUAACUGCACUGUUUUAAAGUAUAACUUGCCUUAAAAGCAUUUGCUUAUUAAUGCUGUGCAUGUCUUUUAUGACUUUUUAAUUUAACAAGUAGAUGAUGGGAAUGGGCAGUUUUUACUUACUGUGUAUUCUAUGUCAGCAUAAAUGAGGAUUUAAUUUUGAUUGAUGUUGAUAAUUUCGUGUUAACCUUUCUUGAAAGAGACUGAUGUUUAUUCCAGAAGAAAAAAAUUGCUCUAUCAGAGUGAGGUAGUAGAUUGUAUAGUUGUGGGGUAGUGAUUUUACCCUGUUUAGGAGAUAACUAUACAAUCUAUUGCCUUCCCUGAGGAGUAGACUUGCUGCAUUGUUUUAUCUAGAGGAUAUUAUAAACUUAGGUGAAUUCUGACCCUUUGUUUUACAGUUAACUUCUUCAGUGCAAUAAACAUUGUUAUGUGACAUUUUUAGUAUUCAUGCUUAAAGAAUUUAGGCAAAUAUCUGAACGGUAAAAGUAUCUAGGACCAGGCCUUUUGGGGUUAUUAAUAGAUUCAUUGUUCUACAUUUCUGGUACACAUGUCCAGAGAAAGAUGCCUUAGGUAAAUGGACAUACCAACUGGAAGUGUACUGCUGGACCAAAUUGAAAUCUGGUUAUUUUAUUAUACUUAAAAUGCUGUAACUAUUACUAUUACUUCACUGGUAUAUUGAUUUUGACAGACAAAGGAAAGGGGCUCUGACUUUUGUCUUGGUUCUUUUCAGACCUCAAUUUUACCCACAAAACAAAGGAGUCACCCAGAACUCAGGUGACAAAAUCCCUAAUAGGUAGCUUUAAAGAAAAUAUGGGAGGGGUAUUAAAAAAGGUGACUUGAAUGUUAGCACUGUUGAUGGGCUCAUGUUUUAGCUUUUUCUAGUGCUCAAACUAUCUGUUGGACCUUAGGCAAGGCCAGAAGCUCUGGUUUUUAAGUGUUUGCUGUUUAACUGGAGUAAGAGUGGGAAAGGCAGAAUGUGGAAGCAGGGGCAGUUAAUCUAACUAAUUACAGUGUAUUGGUAUAGUCAGUAUGAUCUUUUCAUGAAACAAAACUCCUUUGGAAAGGCUCAGUUCAAGUGAUUUAUCCUGAACCAAAUUUAAAAUUUUUAUUCAAUAUCUAGUGUAGGUGGACACUUUGGAAAACUUGGUCUUUGUUCUAAAUUUGGCAUAUAAAAGAUUGAGGAAGGGGCGGGGAUAUAUAUGUCUAAGAUUCUUUUUGGCUUAAUCUUUCCUUUUGGCUUUUCCUUAAGUAGACUGUAUAACCUGCCUGUUGGAUGUGUUGCAAGUAGCCGAGAAAUUCUGUGGUUUUCCGCCCCUUAUUCCUCUAGCAUGGAUAUCUACCGGUUGCAGUUUUGAAACAAUCUUUACUGAGGCCUGGAGAUGAUUAUUUAUAUUUUUGUUAUUAAUUGCACGAGGACUAACAUCCUUAUUACACCAAGUGGAUGGAAUUUGGAAAACUGGUAUAUUUUAACUACUGAAGUGACUAUGGAAAGUGAUAGAAUCACUUAAAGCUGAUCUUUGCCAGUGAUAAAAGUCAUGAACCGAAUUUGCUUCUGUUUUAAUUUAGGCAUCAAAAAGUGAAAUAAUUUCUGGGUCAAUGGAGAUGUUAGCUAUAAGUGAGAAGUAUGCGGCCUGUAAAUAGCGAAAGCUUUAGGUUUCAAUUGAUAAGUAAUUUUUUGGUUACCAAGAGGCCAUUUUAUGAGACUUGAUAUCUGAAGUUUUGGUAAUUGUUUUAAAUAAAGUAUGCAGUAGGCUGAGUGGUAGACUGUUAGUUUCUUUUUUUAAUCCUCUGAUGUAAUUGGAUUAAUUUUUAAAGUAACUUUAAAAUUGACUUUUAGUUGAUCACAUUGUUGGCUUUUGCCAAGAACAUGUGGCCAAGAACUUUUAAGAAUAUCAGUCAAAGGAUUCUAAGUGGUUGAAUUUUAAAUAACUCAAAGGCCUGCCUUAACAGGUAUGUGAAGUGCGUCCGCCAAGUAGAAGACCAGCAAGAAUACAGUGGGCUCCUAGGAAGAGGUAGUAGGUUGCAUAGUUUUAGGGCAGAGAUUUUGCCCACAAGGAGUUAACUAUACGACCUGCUGCCUUUCUUAGGGCCUUAUCAUACCAGCAUACAGUUCCAUGCGUGUAAGCAAGAGUUCUUCGUGCAGGUGGUUCUCGUAAGAAUGGGAACAUUGCAGACCUUUUGAAGACAGUGUGUGCACUGGUUAGUACACAGCAGCACUGCACUGCGUCAGCGACAGGCAUCUAGUAAGAAUCUGAGGUUCCAAAGUUAAACCCUAGUUGCUCCUGUGUCUCACAUUUGGGGGUUACUGGGUAGUUUGGGAAAGCAGAAUUUUCAUAUUAAUUUUUUACUUAAUUUUCCUUGUCUUUGACAUGGGGAGCAUCAGCUAUUUCCAUAUUAUGUUUGAAAGAAAACAUUUAACAAAACCUUUGGGAUAUUUAUUUGGCUUUAACACCAAUUAUGAAAAUUCAUGUGUUUUCUGAGGUGUGGGAGGUAAUUGUGUUAAGUGACUCACUAUAGCAUGCAGCUUGACAACACAAAUGAAAGUGGUUGCUGGAAUAGUAGACUUAACAUUGACAAUAAAAAUAUGACAUUUAAAAA